GUGUUACUACAAUGGUUGUUUAUUGGAUAAGCUAUUUGCUUAUUGAAUAUUUCUGUCAUAGAUGGUCAUAAUGACCACAUGUGGGUGAAGUAUCGAAAUAAAGAGUUUAUGCUAGUCCAUCAAAAAAUGACAUGGAUGGAAGCUCAGAGUGUAUGUUAUUCACUUGGCGGCUUUCUUGCAACUGUAUCUAAUUCUGAUGAAAUGGAAUUUAUCAAGUCAAUGACAAACGUAUACCCUAACAGCAUUUGGUUGGGCGGUACAGACAUGUUUGCUGAUCAAAGAUGGAUCUGGAUAGAGAAUUUAGAGCCAAUAUCAUAUAACUACUAGUAUAUUGGUACUCAUGAACCAUCUGGAGGAUCGGGGGAGAAUUGUUUAGUUUGGCUUAACCAUAAAGGAUUCUUUUGGCAUGAUACUUCCUGCAAAAAUAACUUCAAAUUUGUUUGUGAGCGGUAGUUACUUAUUCAUCGUGUACAAUGCAUUUUUCCGUUGUCUUUAUGAAAGUACAGGCUCUCACUUUGUUAACCAAAGAUUAUUUGGUUUGACAUUAUUCAAUAAUUUUAAAACAGCAUUAACCAUAUCUGUUUAAAAAGGUCAAUUGAUAAAUUUUAAAAUAAGCCUUUCUCAGACCGACCUUUCAGAUUAAAUACAAAAGGACAAUAAUCGAGAACAUUACUUAUUUUAACAUAGAUAUAAGAAGAUGUGGUAUGAGUGCCAAUGAGACAACUCUCCAUUCAAGUUACAAUUUGUAAAAGUAAACCAUUAUAGGUCAAAGUACGGCCUUCAACACGGAGCCUUGGCUCACACAGAACAGCAAGCUAUAAAGGGCCCCAAAAAUGACUAGAGUAAAACCAUUCAAACAGGAAAACAAACGGUCUAAGCUAUAUAAAAAACGAGAAACACUUAUGAACCACAUCAGCAAACGACAACCACUGACCAUCAGGUUCCUGACUUAGGACAAGUGCAAAAAAAUGCAGCGGGUUUAAAAGUUUUAAGAGGCGCCAUCAUUCACCCUAAGUACAUCUGUUUGGUUUUUUUUCAGUAAUGGAAGGAAAAAAGAGCCUUGAACAGUGACGAAAUAUUCUAUUACAUGGUUCAAAUAAAAUACAAGAAUAACGUUAUUGUGAUUAAUUUUAUGGUUUGAACUGUUCUUGUCGAACGAUACGAAAACGUUUGGGGAGCAGGUCAAUUUGUUACGGGUAAUAUGUCAGAAACAAUAAUGCAGUCAGCUGACUACAAAACUCCGUAAUUCCAGGGUUACGACAAAUUUAGGCUUUUAUCAUAAAGGUUCUAUCGUCUUAACAAAAACUUUAAACAUUUAUUUUGUUAACCUCUCAACAGAGUCUGCGGUAGUGUCAAUUCCUUCAUACUUAUUCUUGCUUGCAUUAAACUAUCAGAUCUGAUUAUUGAAUAUUCAAAACAAUUUCGUAGAACCUGUGAAAUUGGCUGAAGUUAAUUUCAGUGAAGCUUUUCAUUAAGUUAAAAAUGGGAAGAUUAAGACAAUAAAGCUUUGCAGAUACAAACGCCAAGUUGUUUUCAACACGAAACGAUUGUUUUCUUGGUAAUAUGUUCAACGUUCAACCUCUCCAUCAAAUGUCCCAGUCAAUUAUUCAAAUCAGAGCUACAAAAGGAGCUGGAACUUUAUACGGACUCUAAGUUAGUCACUGUAAAUUACAAUUCUGUCCAAAAUAGUGAUAAUAUUCUACUAGAAAAAAUAUUUUGUCAUAUAUAAAGACUAUUUGUUGUUA